CGUGUACCUGAAAAUACAUUUAUGGAUAUACUGCCAUGGAUAGAAUCCGAUCUUUGCGAUAGCUCGAACGUCGCGCAUAAUAGGAAUUCUAUUUCAAGAGACAUUAAAGUUUACACAUUUAUACGAAGAUUAUUUUCUAAUUAAAUUAAUAACCAGCGAUGUGUCCGACGAUCUUAAUCAGAAUUAUUCUUAUUCACGUCAUCAACGAAAACGCCAACAUCUCUCUUGACAUCGCUUCAGAUAGAAGAAGGUCGAAAUGAUAUUCCAGUUACGUUACAAUUACAAUUUAAUACGGUCUUAUAACUGUUUUAAAUAAAUAAAUGUAUACCUCUUUGAAGCUAUGAGAAUCUCUGGCGCGCGGUACCACCGAGUGGCGACGUAGUCCGUCAAAGUUGGAUCACUUCCCGUCUCGCCGUCACCUUCGCCGAUCUGUGUAACUGAACGUGCCAGACCAAAGUCCGCGAUUUUGCAAUGGCAUUUUGCAUUCAGGAGCACGUUGGAUGGCUGCAACGAAAGAAUAACGCAAACUCGACGUAACGAGACAAUGCAUUCCUUCCCCAAAUAAGGGAGCAAAUUAAAAGAUCAUAAGACUCGACAUUACCUUCAAGUCUCUGUGGAUAACGUUGCCUGAGUGUAUGUACUUGAUCGCCUUAAAAAGUUGGUACAUGAUGAAGACCUUGUGGAUAUCCUUGAGGAUGUUGCCCCGCUUAAUGACGUUG